GGACUGACUAUAUGACGAGAGGUGAUUCCAAACAAAACAUGGAUAUCACAUCAACCACACUGGCGCUGUUGUGUCUCGUCGCACCAGGUUUGUCCCUGAAGUGUCCGUCGUGUGAUCAGGUUGACAACAUCCACGAGUGCACGCAGGUCAAACAAUGUCACAGCACUGAGCAGAUGUGUCUGGUGACCUUGAACCGGUGGAGAGUGACCUCCAGGUGUUCAACAGUUAAC